rnacentral:rRNA from 1 species
AGAGUUUGAUCAUGGCUCAGGAUGAACGCUGGCGGCGUGCUUAAUACAUGCAAGUCGAACGGAGAUUGUAGCAAUACGAUCUUAGUGGCGAACGGGUGAGUAACGCGUUGGUGACCUGCCCCAAAGAGAGGGAUAACAGUCCGAAAGGAUUGCUAAUACCUCAUGUUGUUAUCGGGUUUAGAAGCCGGUAACUAARGGAGUAAUUCACUUUGGGAGGGACCUGCGUCCCAUCAGCUAGUUGGUGAGGUAAUGGCCCACCAAGGCGAUGACGGGUAGGGGACCUGAGAGGGUGGCCCCCCACAAUGGUACUGAAACACGGACCAUACACCUACGGGUGGCRGCAGUAGGGAAUAUUAGUUAAUGUGCGAAAGCGCGAACUAGCAACGCCGCGUGUGCRAUGAAGGCCUUCGGGUCGUAAAGCACUUUUCURAGGGAUGAGGAAGGACAGUACCUUAGGAAUAAGCCUCGGCUAACUACGUGCCAGCCGCCGCGGUAAUACA